CACAUUAUUAGAUUAUGGCAAGAGGCAGCAACCAAGGUUUUUAUAUAAAGUAAAACAGAACUCCCUCAAUAUUCCUGUCUGGACUUCACACUGCACAGAAAUACCAGAAUUGGAAAUAAAGUGUCAAGGUGGAAGUUAACGUAACCUCAGAUAAUGGGAAUGCAGACACUAGUAAGUCCAGAAGCCUAGUAUAAUCAAUAACAUAGCGGAGACAUAUGGAAAGGCAG